rnacentral:rRNA from 1 species
AACGAACGCUGGCGGCAUGCCUAACACAUGCAAGUCGAACGAGACCUUCGGGUCUAGUGGCGCACGGGUGCGUAACGCGUGGGAACCUGCCCUUAGGUUCGGAAUAACUCCCCGAAAGGGGUGCUAAUACCGGAUAAUGUCUUCGGACCAAAGAUUUAUCGCCUUUGGAUGGGCCCGCGUUGGAUUAGCUAGUUGGUAGGGUAAAAGCCUACCAAGGCGACGAUCCAUAGCUGGUCUGAGAGGAUGAUCAGCCACACUGGGACUGAGACACGGCCCAGACUCCUACGGGAGGCAGCAGUGGGGAAUAUUGGACAAUGGGCGAAAGCCUGAUCCAACAAGGCCGCGUGAGUGAUGAAGUCCUUAGGGUUGUAAAGCUCUUUUACCCGGGAUGAUAAUGACAGUACCGGGAGAAUAAGCUCCGGCUAACUCCGUG